UUUCUUGAAUUAAGUAAAGUACAAAUUUUUUCCCUCUUUCUGAGGUGAAAACCUGGUAGAAAAACCACCGGAGAACCCGUGACAAGACAAAGUUUUGUCGCUGACAAAGAUUCUUUACAGAAAACCAAAUUUUAAAAUCCUACUUUCUUUAUUUUCUUGAAUUAUGUAAAAUACAAAAUUUUCACCUCGUUCUCAGGUGAAAACCUGGUAGAAAAACCACCGGAGAACCCGUGACAAGACAAAGUUUUGUCGCUGACAAAGAUUCUUUACAGAAAACCAAAUUUUAAAAUCCUACUUUCUUUAUUUUCUUGAAUUAUGUAAAAUACAAAAUUUUCACCUCGUUCUCAGGUGAAAACCUGGUAGAAAAACCACCGGAGAACCCGUGACAAGACAAAGUUUUGUCGCUGACAAAGAUUCUUUACAGAAAACCAAAUUUUAAAAUCCUACUUUCUUUAUUUUCUUGAAUUAUGUAAAAUACAAAAUUUUCACCUCGUUCUCAGGUGAAAACCUGGUAGAAAAACCACCGGAGAACCCGUGACAAGACAAAGUUUUGUCGCUGACAAAGAUUCUUUACAGAAAACCAAAUUUUAAAAUCCUACUUUCUUUAUUUUCUUGAAUUAUGUAAAAUACAAAAUUUUCACCUCGUUCUCAGGUGAAAACCUGGUAGAAAAACCACCGGAGAACCCGUGACAAGACAAAGUUUUGUCGCUGACAAAGAUUCUUUACAGAAAACCAAAUUUAAAAAGCCUACUUUCUUUAAUUUCUUGAAUUAUGUAAAAUACAAAAUUUUUCCCUUGUUCUCAGGUGAAAACCUGGUAGAAAAACCACCGGAGAACCCGUGACAAGACAAAGUUUUGUCGCUGACAAAGAUUCUUUACAGAAAACCAAAUUUUAAAAUCCUACUUUCUUUAUUUUCUUGAAUUAUGUAAAAUACAAAAUUUU